rnacentral:tRNA from 1 species
GAGGGUACAGCUCAGUCAUAAAGUGUGUGCUUGGCAUGUGCAAGGUCCUGGGUUCAAUCUCCUGUACCCUCA